rnacentral:rRNA from 1 species
UUAGCAUAUCAAUAAGCGGAGGAGAGAAACUAACAAGGAUUCCCCCAGUAACGGCGAGCGAAGCGGGAAGAGCUCGAGCCUGAAAUCGCUGGCGGUUGCCGUCAGCGAGUUGUGGCCGGUAGAAGAUCACUUUGUUCCGCGCUUGCGGCGUCUAAGUUGACCUGGAAGGGCACGUCGCAGAGGGUGAGAGCCCCGUUGCCGGCCUCGCGGGCCGGGGCAUUGGUGGUCUUCGGAGAGUCGGGUUGUUUGGGAGUGCAGCCCAAAUACGGUGGUAAACUCCACCUAAAGCUAAAUAGUGGCACGAGACCGAUAGCGAACAAGUACCGUGAGGGAAAGGUGAAAAGCACUUUGAAAAGAGAGUCAAAGAGACCGCGAAACCGUUGGGAGGGAAACGAAUGCGGCCAUAAAGACUACCUUCGGGUUCAGGGCGUCUCGGCUUAGGCGUUGUCACUGGGGAGAACCCGCUUCGGGUCUGUCCAGGGCAAGCUCGCCGAGGCUUCCGCACUCCCGUUCGUAGUCCGCCAACGGCGGUCACUCGCGGUCCAACAGGGUCGUGGGGUUAGGUGCCUCCGGAGUCGGCAUCCUUUGGGUUGUCGAAGCGGGAGAACUUAGAGCCCUCGGCUCGGAGAUUGCGUGUGUCCGAGGAGCGCUUGCGACCAGUUCGCACGGUGUAGCGCAGGCCCUCCUGGGCCGGGUCGCUCUUGGGCCUGCGUGCUUCGCGGCGUGCUACUGCAUGCAGUGGCCGUUGACGAUCACGCGCGCUCGCCCGGGAGGUCGGCCACGAUGUGCGCUGUAUUCGUUGGUGUACGCAUGGCUCCAUCCGACCCGUCUU